UAUAUAAUGAUGAAAAUCUCAUACCCAAUUCAGAGAAAUCAUGUUGAAAUCUAUUUAACAUGCAUCACCAUCUGAUUUAAUAA